UCUUAUUUUAUUGAAAUAAUCAUUUUACAUGAGAUAUUACGAAUUCAGGCCCAUAUUCAACAUUGAGAACGAAGCAGCCCACAAAUAUUGAAACCCUAGAUUCUUCUCCAAGUAUUCAGUAUCUAUAAAUUCACACAGCAAAUCUAUAAUUCUACCAUCUCUACAAUCGCUUCCUCUCCCAACCACUCCUCGCAGCAAUCUGCACGAGGAACUUCAGCUGCAGCUGGCUUUGAUGAAGUUUCUGCCGGUGGAGAUUUGAUUACGGCGUCAGGAAUGACAGUGUGUAUUGAGAAAGUGAGCUAUUUUUCAGCACUCUCGUCACGGGUCUUUGUUAAGAUAAGUUGGUUGAAGUUAAAAAAUUUAUUUAAAAAUGAGGUUGCUUUAGAAAUUGUGUGGCUUAAUGAAUCAUAAUUUUUUGUUGUUGUUAUUGCUAGCGUGCUUAAAAUAUUUCCAAUGAAUGAAUAAUAUUUUGAAUGAUUCAUUGGGCUCGCACAGUUUCCCAAGCAUCAAUAUUUUAAACUAUUUUUGCUUCAACAAACUUAUAAUUUAUAUAAAGUCCUUUUACGAGAGUGUCGAAAUUUAGCUAUAUAUAUAUGCUCCUAUAUUUUUGGUGACGUUUUGAUGAUAGAAAGAUGCCACCAGAAUCUAGCCUUGUAGUCUAUAAAGGUAAUAACAAAGUUUCUUUCUUUAAUUUUAUGUUUCGUUUAUUGUUUUAUCUUUGCUAAACGCUACUAAUAUCCAAAUCUAGAAUAUGCAGAGUGGGGACUAGUGCGACUUUUUUCUAUCACAUGUGGAAUUCUCUUUCUUUUUUUUUUUAUAACUAUUUUUGUAAUAGUUAGUUUAUUUCUUAGUCUAAUUUUGCUUUAGCCUUGUAAUAGACUAUGUUUCGAAAUAUAAUCUAAUCUCUUGCUUCAACGAGUUUUUAAUUCUCGUUGUAUUUUUACUAUUAA